UGGGGAAUCUUAGACAAUGGGCGAAAGCCUGAUCUAGCCAUGCCGCGUGAGUGAUGAAGGUCUUAGGAUCGUAAAGCUCUUUCGCUAGGGAUGAUAAUGACAGUACCUAGUAAAGAAGCCCCGGCUAACUCCGUG
rnacentral:rRNA from 1 species